rnacentral:rRNA from 1 species
CUCGUAGGCGGCCAACUAAGUCACACGUGAAAUCCCCAGGCUUAACCUGGGAACUGCGUGUGAUACUGGAUGGCUUGAAUUCGGGAGAGGGAUGCAGAAUUCCAGGUGUAGCGGUGAAAUGCGUAGAUAUCUGGAGGAAUACCGGUGGCGAAGGCGGCAUCCUGACCGACAUUGACGCUGAGGAGCGAAAGCUAGGGGAGCAAACG